GCAAAACGCGAAGAACCUUACCUGGUCUUGACAUAGUAAGAACUUUCCAGAGAUGGAUUGGUGCCUUCGGGAACUUACAUACAGGUGCUGCAUGGCUGUCGUCAGCUCGUGUCGUGAGAUGGUUGGGUUAACGUCCCGCAACGAGCGCUAACCCUUUUCCUUUAUUUCGCCAGCGGGUUAAGCCGGGUAACUUUAAGGAUACUGCCAGUGACAAACUGGAGGAAGGCGGGGACGACGUCAAGUCAUCAUGGCCCUUACGACCAGGGCUACACACGUGCUACAAUGGUCGGUACAAAGGGUUGCUACCUCGCGAGAGGAUGCUAACCUACAAAAAGCCGAUCGUAGUCCGGAUUGGAGUCUGCAACUCGACUCCAUGAAGUCGGAAUCGCUAGUAAUCGCGGAUCAGAAUGCCGCGGUGAAUACGUUCCGGGUCUUGUACACACCG
rnacentral:rRNA from 1 species